GAGUUUGAUCAUGGCUCAGAGUGAACGCUGGCGGCACGCCUAACACAUGCAAGUCGAGCGAGAAACUAAACUUCGGUUUAGCGGAAAGCGGCGGACGGGUGAGUAACGCGUGGGAAUUUACCAAAGAGUGGGGAACAACUGCUGGAAACGGCAGCUAAUACCGCAUACGCCCUACGGGGGAAAGGCUUCGGCCGCUCUUUGAGAAGCCCGCGUACGAUUAGUUUGUUGGUGAGGUAAUGGCUUACCAAGACUACAAUCGUUAGCUGGUCUGAGAGGACGAUCAGCCACACUGGGACUGAGACACGGCCCAGACUCCUACGGGAGGCAGCAGUGGGGAAUAUUGGACAAUGGGCGAAAGCCUGAUCCAGCGAUGCCGCGUGAGUGAAGAAGGCCCUAGGGUUGUAAAGCUCUUUCGGUGGGGAAGAUAAUGACGGUACCCACAAAAGAAGCCCCGGCUAACUCCGUGCCAGCAGCCGCGGUAAUACGGAGGGGGCUAGCGUUACUCGGAAUUACUGGGCGUAAAGCGAGCGUAGGCGGUUAAUCAAGUUGGGGGUGAAGGCCCGGGGCUCAACCCCGGAAAUGCCCUCAAAACUAGUUAACUAGAGGACGGGAGAGGGGGAGUGGAACUCCCAGUGUAGAGGUGAAAUUCGUAGAUAUUGGGAAGAACACCAGUGGCGAAGGCGACUCUCUGGACCGUUUCUGACGCUAAGGCUCGAAAGCGUGGGUAGCAAACAGGAUUAGAUACCCUGGUAGUCCACGCCGUAAACGAUGAGUGCUAGACGUUGGGGGGAACGCCCUUCAGUGUCGUCGCUAACGCAUUAAGCACUCCGCCUGGGGAGU
rnacentral:rRNA from 1 species